rnacentral:rRNA from 1 species
AGAGUUUGAUCAUGGCUCAGGAUGAACGCCGGCGGUGUGCCUAAUACAUGCAAGUCGUACGCACUGGCCCAACUGAUUGAUGGUGCUUGCACCUGAUUGACGAUGGAUCACCAGUGAGUGGCGGACGGGUGAGUAACACGUAGGUAACCUGCCCCGGAGCGGGGGAUAACAUUUGGAAACAGAUGCUAAUACCGCAUAACAACAAAAGCCACAUGGCUUUUGUUUGAAAGAUGGCUUUGGCUAUCACUCUGGGAUGGACCUGCGGUGCAUUAGCUAGUUGGUAAGGUAACGGCUUACCAAGGCGAUGAUGCAUAGCCGAGUUGAGAGACUGAUCGGCCACAAUGGAACUGAGACACGGUCCAUACUCCUACGGGAGGCAGCAGUAGGGAAUCUUCCACAAUGGGCGCAAGCCUGAUGGAGCAACACCGCGUGAGUGAAGAAGGGUUUCGGCUCGUAAAGCUCUGUUGUUGGAGAAGAACGUGCGUGAGAGUAACUGUUCACGCAGUGACGGUAUCCAACCAGAAAGUCACGGCUAACUACGUGCCAGCAGCCGCGGUAAUACGUAGGUGGCAAGCGUUAUCCGGAUUUAUUGGGCGUAAAGCGAGCGCAGGCGGUUGCUUAGGUCUGAUGUGAAAGCCUUCGGCUUAACCGAAGAAGUGCAUCGGAAACCGGGCAACUUGAGUGCAGAAGAGGACAGUGGAACUCCAUGUGUAGCGGUGGAAUGCGUAGAUAUAUGGAAGAACACCAGUGGCGAAGGCGGCUGUCUGGUCUGCAACUGACGCUGAGGCUCGAAAGCAUGGGUAGCGAACAGGAUUAGAUACCCUGGUAGUCCAUGCCGUAAACGAUGAGUGCUAGGUGUUGGAGGGUUUCCGCCCUUCAGUGCCGGAGCU